rnacentral:lncRNA from 1 species
CUUUAACCGUUCAGGAGUUAUGGUUCUUGAAAGAUCAUAAAAUGGCAUUUCCAUUCACGUUGUUGCAUUUACUCAUGAACCAUUCAAUCUAAGCUUUUCAAUUUUAAUAUGUUGAUACUGAUGACACAUGAACCAUUCAAUCUAAGCUUUUCAAUUUUAAUAUGUUGAUACUGAUGACAAAAUGGAGGUCAAAUUUGAUAUUGACGAUUUUCACUUUCACCAUUCAUCAGUAAUGGUUCUUGUGAUAUUGCCAGGACACAAAUAAAUGUUAAUAAAUCCGGUUUGCUGUCGUUGUGACAGACUCUUGUUUUGUAAUUUCUCGUGUCCCGCUAAAGUUCAUUUCCCGUUCAAGGCACAAUAAUUUGACUUUCACGUGUCACGCUUACAAAAAAUCGGCAAUCCCGCGUCACGCUUAGUCCCCAAUGAGACAAUAACUUGGUCAAUGAAAGACAAUCCUGUUAAGAAAGUUGAGAUUUUUUUUUUUCAGUGGUGUUUCUUUUGGUUCGUUGUUAAUUAUAUGUAUAAUAUAAUAUGUUCCCAUCUUUAGUAAUUUUGGGGUAAAAAUUGCUUGACAUGUAAUUAUAACCCUAUUGUCACUGGCUGGAGGGAAAAAAAUCAGGCCUUAUUUACUGUUGAGACCCCAAAAAAACAGCCUUGGUGCAUUGAUAUCAUUCUUUAUAUCCUAUCCAUAUCACUGCCAAGAAAUUUAUUAUUGAUCAUGUUGAUAUAUACUCAAAUAUUGAAAUUAUAAAUUCAGGUGUAUAUGAAUAUCUGUACUUGCCAUGAAAAUAUUUUAUUGAAAGUUUCAUUAUUUGCAAGGUGUAUGAAUCUAUCUUGUUGUCUAGAAAGGAUUAGGUCCAGUAAGACCUCUAUGGCCCCAAAAUAUAGCAGUUUUAUAAAAUUGUUAAAAUGUAAAUUUUAGUUAUUUAUUGGAAAGAGGAAUGCUUUUGCUACAUAAAUAUGGGCUGUUUUUGUCAAUACAGUGCAUAUAUAUCAGGUACUAGCAUCAUUAAGUCAUGCUAAAUUAAUGAAAUUUUUACAAUUUCAGCAUUUUAGUUAAAUUUUAGACGGUUUCUGUCUUAAAUGUAAGUGGCCACAUUUGUGUUCAUUCUUUAUAUUGAAAUGUAAGUUGUAUUUGAUGUUGAUACAUAACAUACAUAAAGGUUGAGGAUGAACAGGGAUGCGGCCAAUUUCAUUUUUGACAAAAACCAACUGAAAAGUGGCAUUUUUUGGCAUAUUUGAUAGAUUUUUUCAUAUUUAAGCUUGAAUCGGAGCUUUUUUAAUGUCUAAUUCAGUUAAAAUCUUUCACAUAAACUAAUUGAAUCAACAGAAAUAGACACUUAAGUGUUUAAAAAGUGUUAAAAAUCUAUUCAGAUGAACUUGAAAUUUGAGGCCAAAAUUGGCCCUUACCGCACCUACUCCUUUGUUCAAGAACAAAAGAAGAUCCCUCAUUUAAAAUAAUGGCAAUGUUUUAUUUAAAGUUCUUUUGCAAAAUGCGAGUAAUCGCACCCUUCAGUGAUUGCCAGUACUUUAUUCAAAUAAUCUCUACUAAGAUCAUUGCCCCAUUGCAUUUAGUCUUUGUUUACUUUUCAAAAAGCAUUUUAACUUUGUAUACUUUUCUAAUUUCGUUUUAACUUUGAAGGUACUAUAUAUUUCCUAUGUUUUUAAGAAAAAGUUUGUAAUGCCAAUUGAAAGAUUUUUGUAUGUUAGGAGUAUAACUGAUUGUAGUACUUUAUGGUGUAGUAUGACUAGGUUGCUUUUUAAAAUAUAACACCCAAAAAUAUCAGUUACUGAUUUGUAACAUACUAUAUAAAGGACUGAAUCAGAGUUUUUUAAGGUUACAAUUUACGGAGAACUCAUAAUAGGACUGUUUUUUAAAUUCAUUAAAAAAAUUAGAGUAAAGUUGUAAAUAGGAAAUGUAUAUUUUAUGUUUUUGUGCUACUUUGAACCUUGAAAUAUUUUGUUAUAUAUAGUGCUGAUAAGUUUUUAUAUUUUUCUGCAAUGAAGCAUUUUUACCUAAACUGUUUGUUAUUUUAAGUGAUGAUUUUUGCAAUAAAAUACUUCACAAGUUAUCAUUUUGAUGUUUUGACUGAGUAUGAAUUCUAAUUGUGGAUGGUGCAUGCAAAGCAGAAAAGGCU